rnacentral:rRNA from 1 species
AAGCGUGCGCAGGCGGUUAUGUAAGACAGAUGUGAAAUCCCCGGGCUCAACCUGGGAACUGCAUUUGUGACUGCAUGGCUAGAGUACGGUAGAGGGGGAUGGAAUUCCGCGUGUAGCAGUGAAAUGCGUAGAUAUGCGGAGGAACACCGAUGGCGAAGGCAAUCCCCUCGGACCUGUACUGACGCUCAUGCACGAAAGCGUGGGGAGCAAACAGGAUUAGAUACCCCAGU